CAUUAAGAACAAUCAUCAUUCUUGGAAGUGGCCAAAAUAACAACAUUAACAGGAGUGUGGAAGAAGUUGAUUCUAGCCCUCAUGGAUGACUUUGAUGGGUUUGAGACUUCAUUGGAGGAAGUCACUGUAGA